CACUUUGCGGCCUGGGGCCGUUGGAGAUCUUCCUAGAGAAGUCCGGUUUAGGACACUGGGCUCCUUCUCUGCUGGGGAGAAAGCCAGAGAACUCGUGGGCUCCGAUCCACAGCUGCCUUCUAGGUAGCUACGCUGUGCAGCAAUUCAGUGCCCAUAGAGGGCAUGGUAUCUGGAACCUACCGUGACCAAGGACCCCUGUAUGGAAGUGCAGCCUGGAACCAGGCUGACGAUAAUCUAAAGAGAUUCCAGCGGCUGUCAGCACUUUGAAACAAGGUCCGACAAGGAAUUGGAAUUUCCCCAGGCAUCUCCUGGUGCCGGCCAGAAGGGGAACUUGACUCCAGGGAAGAGAUUUUCCACUUGUCAGACCACCUGGAGGACAGACAGACAGGAGCUGAGAUAAAGCUAAGUGGAUGACUCGGUAGGAUUGGAGUUGCAGACCGAUGUGAGCAGCCAUGUGAUUCGGGGAAUCGGACGAGUCCUCUACGAGAGCAAAGAGCAGCAAAUGCUAUUAACCGCUGAGCCAUCUCUCCAGCUUCCAGUAUUUGUUCUUAAAGUCACACAGGAGGUUGGGGAAGCCCAUACUUUACCCCGGGAAGGUUACAGACAUUGGUUUUGUCAAGUUUCUCCUCUUCGUUUCAUCUGACGCUUUCUAGUUUCAAACCGUGGUGGUCUGGGUUUCUGAAAUGGCAC